rnacentral:rRNA from 1 species
GAUGAACGCUGGCGGCGUGCCUAAUACAUGCAAGUCGAGCGAACGGACGAGAAGCUUGCUUCUCUGAUGUUAGCGGCGGACGGGUGAGUAACACGUGGAUAACCUACCUAUAAGACUGGGAUAAUUUCGGGAAACCGGAGCUAAUACCGGAUAAUAUUUUGAACCGCAUGGUUCAAAAGUGAAAGACGGUCUUGCUGUCACUUAUAGAUGGAUCCGCGCUGCAUUAGCUAGUUGGUAAGGUAACGGCUUACCAAGGCAACGAUGCAUAGCCGACCUGAGAGGGUGAUCGGCCACACUGGAACUGAGACACGGUCCACACUCCUACGGGAGGCAGCAGUAGGGAAUCUUCCGCAAUGGGCGAAAGCCUGACGGAGCAACGCCGCGUGAGUGAUGAAGGUCUUCGGAUCGUAAAACUCUGUUAUUAGGGAAGAACAUAUGUGUAAGUAACUGUGCACAUCUUGACGGUACCUAAUCAGAAAGCCACGGCUAACUACGUG